UUUUUUGGGGAUAGAGGGACUUGAACCCUCACGAUUUUUAAAGUCGACGG
rnacentral:tRNA from 4 species